AUUUAUUAGAACCAACCAACCGGGGCAACCCGUCAACUGGUGAAUCUGAAUAACUCAGCCGAUCGCUCGGUCUUCGAACUGGCGACGUGUCUUUCAAGUGUCUGCCUUAUCAGGCUUUCGAUGGUAGCCUACGCGACUACCAUGGCUAUAACGGGUAACGGAGAAUUAGGGUUCGACUCCGGAGAGGGAGCCUGAGAAACGGCUACCACAUCCAAGGAAGGCAGCAGGCGCGCAAAUUACCCACUCUCGGCACGAGGAGGUAGUGACGAAAAAUAACGAGACAGUUCUCUUACGAGGUCUGUCAUCGGAAUGGGCACAACCCAAACCCUUUAACGAGGAUCUAUUGGAGGGCAAGUCUGGUGCCAGCAGCCGCGGUAAUUCCAGCUCCAAUAGCGUAUAUUAAAGUUGUUGCGGUUAAAAAGCUCGUAGUUGGAUCUGUGGUCUGGUCUGUCGGUCUGCUUAACGGCAGCACUGGCGGACGGGCCCCUACUGCCAGUUUUCCGUGCGUGCUCUUCGCUGGGUGCGUGCGGUGGCUGGCGCGUUUACUUUGAAAAAAUUAGAGUGCUCAAAGCAGCG
rnacentral:rRNA from 1 species